rnacentral:rRNA from 1 species
UGGGGAAUAUUGCACAAUGGAGGGAACUCUGAUGCAGCGACGCCGCGUGAACGAAGAAGGCUUUCGAGUCGUAAAGUUCUUUUAUAUGGGAAGAUAAUGACGGUACCAUAAGAAGAAGCUCCGGCUAACUACGUGCCAGCAGCCGCGGUAAUACGUAGGGGGCUAGCGUUGUCCGGAAUCACUGGGCGUAAAGGGUUCGCAGGCGGAAAUGCAAGUCAGGUGUAAAAGGCAGUAGCUUAACUACUGUAAGCAUUUGAAACUGCAUAUCUUGAGAAGAGUAGAGGUAAGUGGAAUUUUUAGUGUAGCGGUGAAAUGCGUAGAUAUUAAGAAGAAUACCGGUGGCGAAGGCGACUUACUGGGCUCAUUCUGACGCUGAGGAACGAAAGCGUGGGUAGCAAACAGG